rnacentral:rRNA from 1 species
UAAAUUUUUUGUUAUUUAAAUUUUAAUAUUGCAUAUUAUUUUAAGAAAAUUUUAUGGUUUAUAAAAUAUAGAAUUAAAAGGUAGAAAAAUUAAAAAUUUUAUUGUUAUAUAAUAAAAAGUAUAAUUUUUAGAGUUGAAAAGUCGACUUUUAGGAUAUCUGUUUAUUUAAAUUUUAUUAGAAAUUUAUAAAUUAAAUUCUGAAUUGUUUUUUAUAAGAAUAAAAGUUAAAGUAUUUUUAUUUUUAGUUUUAUAACUAUUUAUGUUUUAAUAAUUGAAUGUGAUUAAAAUUGAUAAUUUUAUUAAGAUUAUAAUAAAUGUAUUAUUUAAAAAUUAGUAAUUAGAAUUAAUUUAAUUUUUAUAUUAAAUAUAAUAAACUAACUAAAUGAUUAAUCAAAUGUUUAUUAAAAACUUCGACUUUUAAAUAAAGUUUGAUUCUGCUCGAUGAAUUAUUUUAAAUGGCACUCUUAGCGU